UACGUAGGGUGCAGGCGUUAAUCGGAAUUACUGGGCGUAAAGCGUGCGCAGGCGGUUUCUUACGUCAGAUGUGAAAGCCCCGGGCUUAACCUGGGAACUGCGUUUGAAACUGGGAGACUAGAGUGUGGCAGAGGGGGGUGGAAUUCCACGUGUAGCAGUGAAAUGCGUAGAUAUGUGGAGGAACACCGAUGGCGAAGGCAGCCCCCUGGGUUAACACUGACGCUCAUGCACGAAAGCGUGGGGAGCAAACAGG
rnacentral:rRNA from 1 species